rnacentral:rRNA from 1 species
AUUGAACGCUGGCGGCAGGCCUAACACAUGCAAGUCGAGCGGAUGAAGGGAGCUUGCUCCUGGAUUCAGCGGCGGACGGGUGAGUAAUGCCUAGGAAUCUGCCUGGUAGUGGGGGAUAACGUCCGGAAACGGGCGCUAAUACCGCAUACGUCCUGAGGGAGAAAGUGGGGGAUCUUCGGACCUCACGCUAUCAGAUGAGCCUAGGUCGGAUUAGCUAGUUGGUGGGGUAAAGGCCUACCAAGGCGACGAUACGUAACUGGUCUGAGAGGAUGAUCAGUCACACUGGAACUGGAACACGGUCCGGACGCCUACGGAAGGCAGCAGUGGGAAAUCUUGGAAACGGGACGAAAGCCUGUUCCAGCCAUGCGGCGUGUGUGAAGAAGGUCUUCGGAUUGUAAAGCACUUUAAGUUGGGAGAAAGGGCAGUAAGUUAAUACCUUGCUGUUUAGACGUACCCAACAGAAUAAGCACCGGCUAACUGCGU